UGAUGUCAUCACUCAGUACCG
rnacentral:miRNA from 1 species